GCUGGGCAUGGUGGUGCAUGCCUGUAGUCCUAGCUACUCAGGAAGCAGAGGCAGGAGGAUCGCUGGAGCCUAGGAGUUGGAGGCUUCAGUGAGCUGUGAUUGUGCCACUGCACUCCAGCCUGGGUGACAGAGUGAGACCUUGUCUCUA
ensembl:misc_RNA Metazoa_SRP Metazoan signal recognition particle RNA